rnacentral:rRNA from 1 species
UACGUAGGGUGCAAGCGUUGUCCGGAAUUAUUGGGCGUAAAGAGCUCGUAGGCGGUUUGUCGCGUCUGCUGUGAAAACCCGAGGCUCAACCUCGGGCCUGCAGUGGGUACGGGCAGACUAGAGUGCGGUAGGGGAGAUUGGAAUUCCUGGUGUAGCGGUGGAAUGCGCAGAUAUCAGGAGGAACACCAAUGGCGAAGGCAGAGCUCUGGGCCGUAACUGACGCUGAGGAGCGAAAGCAUGGGGAGCGAACAGG